rnacentral:rRNA from 1 species
UGAGGAAUAUUGCGCAAUGGACGAAAGUCUGACGCAGCCAUGCCGCGUGCAGGAUGACGGCCCUAUGGGUUGUAAACUGCUUUUGUAUGGGAAUAAACCCUUCUACGUGUAGAAGGCUGAAGGUACCAUAAGAAUAAGCACCGGCUAACUCCGUGCCAGCAGCCGCGGUAAUACGGAGGGUGCAAGCGUUAUCCGGAUUUAUUGGGUUUAAAGGGUCCGUAGGCGGACCGAUAAGUCAGUGGUGAAAGCCCAUAGCUCAACUAUGGAACUGCCAUUGAUACUGUCGGUCUUGAGUACAAUUGAAGUUGGCGGAAUGUGUAGUGUAGCGGUGAAAUGCUUAGAUAUUACACAGAACACCGAUUGCGAAGGCAGCUGACUAAUUUGUAACUGACGCUGAGGG